AGCAGUAUUAUAGUAGUUAUAUUCUUGUAUAUAGGAGCAGUAUUAUAGUAGUUAUAUUCUUGUAUAUAGGAGCAGUAUUAUAGUAGUUAUAUUCUUGUAUAUAGGAGCAGUAUUAUAGUAGUUAUAUUCUUGUAUAUAGGAGCAGUAUUAUAGUAUUUAUAGUCUUGUACAUAGGGGGGCAGUAUGCUGUAACCACAACUCACUGUUCCUUAAUGUCCCAAUAAAUAUAUAUAUGUGUAUAUGCCAGAGAUGGUGCGUAGCUGUAGGACAGAGGUGAUGACAAUACUCAGGACUUGAGCUCAGAGACAAGAUCCAGCAGUGUUUACUGAGACAACAGAAGAUUGUGUUCUCUCAGCAGCCAGGGAACGGCUGAGAUAACACCACACUGACAUUGAGAGGACUACACAACUUCCUGUCAGGGGGAGAAGAACGGGACGGGUCUAGACGACCGUAUGAACGCAGCCUAAGCUGGAAACAAGAUGCCCGCAGCAGCUGUGUCAGGCUCCACGGCUGGAUGAAGCAGAAUAUGCACGGAGCCGCGACCUUUAGACCUAGGACGCUCAGAAAAUUGACAGCUGUUGGCUGUCCGGGCAUGCUGGGAAUUGUAGUUUUGCAACAGCUGGAGGAACUCUUGGUGACGUGUGACCCUUUUGUAUUUGCAGAACAAUCUGUGAAGAAUUUCCAUUAACAAUCGUGCAAUUCUUCAUGCACAAUGAAGGGAUACUUCUGUGGUGAAACAUAAUUACAAAAGUUAAAAAAAAUAAUAAUAAAUAAUACAAAGAACAAUAUACUUCAACCCUGAAUACUGUAACUUGGCAUGUGCCGGAAUUCUCUGCAGCGCCCAAUAGAUCCUAUGUGUAUGAUUUAGGGGGCACCCCGGCAACCCCUUUUAGAUGUCUACCUAUCUAUCCUGCAACCAC